rnacentral:rRNA from 1 species
UAGCAUAUCAAUAAGCGGAGGAAAAGAAACCAACAGGGAUUGCCUCAGUAACGGCGAGUGAAGCGGCAAGAGCUCAAAUUUGAAAGCUGGCCCCUUCGGGGUCCGCGUUGUAAUUUGCAGAGGAUGCUUCGGGUGCAGCCCCCGUCUAAGUGCCCUGGAACGGGCCGUCAUAGAGGGUGAGAAUCCCGUCUGGGACGGGGUGUCUGCGUCCGUGUGAAGCUCCUUCGACGAGUCGAGUUGUUUGGGAAUGCAGCUCUAAAUGGGUGGUAAAUUUCAUCUAAAGCUAAAUACUGGCCGGAGACCGAUAGCGCACAAGUAGAGUGAUCGAAAGAUGAAAAGCACUUUGAAAAGAGAGUUAAACAGCACGUGAAAUUGUUGAAAGGGAAGCGUUUGCGACCAGACUCGCCCGCGGGGUUCAGCCGGCAUUCGUGCCGGUGUACUUCCCCGUGGGCGGGCCAGCGUCGGUUUGGGCGGCCGGUCAAAGGCCCUCGGAAUGUAUCACCUCUCGGGGUGUCUUAUAGCCGAGGGUGCAAUGCGGCCUGCCUGGACCGAGGAACGCGCUUCGGCUCGGACGCUGGCGUAAUGGUCGUAAAUGACCCGUCUUGAAACACGGACCAAGGAGUCUAACAUCUACGCGAGUGUUCGGGUGUCAAACCCGUACGCGCAGUGAAAGCGAACGGAGGUGGGAGCCCCCUCGCGGGGCGCACCAUCGACCGAUCCUGAUGUCUUCGGAUGGAUUUGAGUACGAGCGUAGCUGUGGGGACCCGAAAGAUGGUGAACUAUGCCUGAAUAGGGCG